rnacentral:rRNA from 1 species
UACGUAGGUGGCAAGCGUUGUCCGGAUUUAUUGGGUUUAAAGGGUGCGUAGGCGGUUUUCUAAGUCAGCAGUGAAAUACGGCAGCUCAACUGUCGAGGUGCUGUUGAUACUGGGGAACUUGAGUACUGAUGAGGUAGGCGGAAUGGACGGUGUAGCGGUGAAAUGCUUAGAGAUCGUCCAGAACACCGAUAGCGAAGGCAGCUUACUAAGGAGUAACUGACGCUGAGGCACGAAAAUGUGGGGAUCAAACAGG